rnacentral:rRNA from 1 species
UCAAAUCAGGUAGGAUUACCCGCUGAACUUAAGC